GGAAGAGGCCGCCCGCUAGCUUCUCCGCCGUCCCCCGGCCCCGGCGCUGUGGGGCGCCUCCUGGACGCAGGUUUACCUAACACUGUAAAGAGAACGUUCAAUGAAAUACAAAGAAAAAGAUGAUUUUUUUGCUCCAAGAGAAUUAUUCCAGCCUUGGGGUGGAGUGGGUGUGGACAGUGAGCAGAAAAACAAGAAACCAAGUUCUGGGAGGAAAUAAAAUGAAUAUAAUCAGUGGAAAAUUCAGCAACGCAAUAUUGUGUGACAACAGUAAAUGACCAAUUUAUAAUUUAAAUUCUAUGAAAAAGAGAUUUAGAAGAGAGUUCUACCAAACCCACUGUUCCCUAGGGAAUAAAAUGAGUAACGCUGACUGGCAACAGUGCAUCCUGAGGGAGCCUGGAGAAACAACAGCAGCCUCCGACCUCAAGAUAUCCUGGUAGUGCUGUGACAGUGUCUUAAGUAGGGCAUGUUGAUAGAUGGAAAAGGACGGCAAACUCGAGGUGCUGAUUCAGGAAGAAGCAGAUUCCAAGAUGGAAGAGAAAAUAUCGAGAGAAAUAUGCCGAGAGAAGAAUCCAGGCAGAAUGGAAUCCAGGCAGAAUGGUGAAUGGAAGGUUCGGGUGACCAAGAGAAAGGAAGGGUGACUCAGCAAGUCUGUAGUUUCAGCUCUUGUAUAGUACGUUAUACUUGAAAAGCUGAAGCCUUUUCUCGGGGAAGAGUCAGAACGGCCUGGAGGGCUUGCUAAAGCGCUGCUGGCUGGGCCCCGCCCGCUGAAUGACUAAUGGAGACUCUGAGGGCCGGCUGGUAAUUUGAGUUUCUAACAAGCCCUGUUUCGAUGCUGGUACAGCCGAUCUAGGGAAAAUAUUGGAACAAGGAAAAAACUAAGAAGAAAUUUUAAAAAGUAAUCAAAGGCGGCCAAGUGAGGUGGCUCACGCCUGUGAUC
rnacentral:lncRNA from 1 species